AACUAAAAGUACAGCUGAAAGAUCCCCGGAGCUGGGGGACUCUCACUCAAGUCUUGGGAUGACGCGACCCCCCAAGAACUCACAUAAGACC
rnacentral:pre_miRNA from 14 species